rnacentral:rRNA from 1 species
ACCGGGGCGGGCGUGCUAAUACAUGCAAGUCGAGCGGACAGAUGGGAGCUUGCUCCCUGAUGUUAGCGGCGGACGGGUGAGUAACACGUGGGUAACCUGCCUGUAAGACUGGGAUAACUCCGGGAAACCGGGGCUAAUACCGGAUGCUUGAUUGAACCGCAUGGUUCAAUUAUAAAAGGUGGCUUUUAGCUACCACUUACAAAUGGACCCGCGGCGCAUUAGCUAGUUGGUGAGGUAACGGCUCACCAAGGCAACAAUGCGUAGCCAACCUGAGAGGGUGAUCGGCCACACUGGGACUGAGACACGGCCCAAACUCCUACGGGAGGCAGCAUUAGGGAAUCUUCCGCAAUGGACAAAAGUCUGACGGACCAACCCCCCGUGAGUGAUGAAGGUUUUCGGAUCGUAAAACUCUGUUGUUAGGGAAAAACAAGUACCGUUCAAAUAGGGCGGUACCUUGACGGUACCUAACCAAAAAGCCACGGCUAACUACGUGCCACCACCCGCGGUAAUACUUAGGUGGCAAGCGUUGUCCGGAAUUAUUGGGCGUAAAGCGCGCGCAGGCGGUUUCUUAAUUCUGAUGUGAAAGCCCCCGGCUCAACCGGGGAGGGUCAUUGGAAACUGGGGAACUUGAGUGCAGAAAAGGAAAGUGGAAUUCCACGUGUAGCGGUGAAAUGCUUAGAGAUGUGAAGGAACACCAGUGCCAAAGGCAACUCUCUGGUCUGUAACUGACGCUAAGGCGCGAAAGCGUGGGGAGCGAACAGGAUUAGAUACCCUGGUAUUCCACGCCGUAAACAAUGAAG